rnacentral:rRNA from 1 species
GAUAAACGCUGGCGGCGCACAUAAGACAUGCAAGUCGAACGGACUUAACCAUUAGUUUACUAUUGGAGCGGUUAGUGGCGGACUGGUGAGUAACGCGUAAGCAAUCUGCCUAUCAGAGGGGAAUAACAGUGAGAAAUCACUGCUAAUACCGCAUAAGCUGUGAGUAUCGCAUGAUACAAAUAGAAAAGGAGCAAUCCGCUGAUAGAUGAGCUUGCGUCUGAUUAGUUAGUUGGUGAGGUAACGGCCUACCAAGACGACGAUCAGUAGCCGGACUGAGAGGUUGAACGGCCACAUUGGGACUGAGAUACGGCCCAG